rnacentral:rRNA from 1 species
ACGGGGUGCAGCAGGCGCGAAACCUCCGCAAUACUCGCAAGUGUGACGGGGUUACCCAAAGUGUUCAAUAUUGAACUGUGGUAGGUGAGUAAUGUUCCCUACUAGAAAGGAGAGGGCAAGGCUGGUGCCAGCCGCCGCGGUAAAACCAGCUCUUCAAGUGGUCGGGAUAAUUAUUGGGCUUAAAGUGUCCGUAGCUGGUUUAGUAAGUUCCUGGUAAAAUCGGGUAGCUUAACUAUCUGUAUGCUAGGAAUACUGCUAGUCUUGGGAAUGGGGGAGGGUCGGGGUACUUCCAGGGUAGGGGUAAAAUCCGUUGAGCCUGGAAGGACCACCAGUGGCGAAGGCGCCGAUCCAAAACAUGUCCGACGGUGAGGGACGAAAGCUGGGGGAGCGAACGGGAUUAGAUACCCCGGUAGUCCCAGCUGUAAAUGAUGCAGACUGUGGUGUUGCCUGUGAGUAAUCACAGGCAGUGCUGUAGCGUAGGUGUUAAGUCUGCCGCCUGGGGAGUACGAUCGCAAGAUUUAAACUUAAAGGAAUUGGCGGGGGAGCAC